UCCCUAGUGGUCCAGUGGUCAGGAUUCGGCACUUUCACUGCCGUGGCCCAGGUUUAACUCCCGGUCAGGGAA
rfam:TPA: Bos taurus chromosome 17, whole genome shotgun sequence.